GAACUUACCUGGCGCCGGGUUCAGGGUGAUCAAGAAAGCUCUGAUCUUGGGUGAAGGCUUACUAUUGCACCUCGAUGGGUUGAAACUCGCGACGAACCCUAAUCGGGUGCGUUCGACCGUGGAGUUUUUGUCAGUGAAGGUGAUUAAACCGACAACUUUUA
rnacentral:snRNA from 1 species